GAUGAACGCUGGCGGCGUGCCUAAUACAUGCAAGUCGAGCGAACGGACGAGAAGCUUGCUUCUCUGAUGUUAGCGGCGGACGGGUGAGUAACACGUGGAUAACCUACCUAUAAGACUGGGAUAACUUCGGGAAACCGGAGCUAAUACCGGAUAAUAUUUUGAACCGCAUGGUUCAAAAGUGAAAGACGGUCUUGCUGUCACUUAUAGAUGGAUCCGCGCUGCAUUAGCUAGUUGGUAAGGUAACGGCUUACCAAGGCAACGAUGCAUAGCCGACCUGAGAGGGUGAUCGGCCACACUGGAACUGAGACACGGUCCAGACUCCUACGGGAGGCAGCAGUAGGGAAUCUUCCGCAAUGGGCGAAAGCCUGACGGAGCAACGCCGCGUGAGUGAUGAAGGUCUUCGGAUUGUAAAACUCUGUUAUUAGGGAAGAACAUAUGUGUAAGUAACUGUGCACAUCUUGACGGUACCUAAUCAGAAAGCCACGGCUAACUACGUGCCAGCAGCCGCGGUAAUACGUAGGUGGCAAGCGUUAUCCGGAAUUAUUGGGCGUAAAGCGCGCGUAGCGGUUUUUUAAGUCUGAUGUGAAAGCCCACGGCUCAACUGUGGAGGGUCAUUGGAAACUGGAAAACUUGAGUGCAGAAGAGGAAAGUGGAAUUCCAUGUGUAGCGGUGAAAUGCGCAGAGAUAUGGAGGAACACCAGUGGCGAAGGCGACUUUCUGGUCUGUAACUGACGCUGAUGUGCGAAAGCGUGGGGAUCAAACAGGAUUAGAUACCCUGGUAGUCCACGCCGUAAACGAUGAGUGCUAAGUGUUAGGGGGUUUCCGCCCCUUAGUGCUGCAGCUAACGCAUUAAGCACUCCGCCUGGGGAGUACGACCGCAAGGUUGAAACUCAAAGGAAUUGACGGGGACCCGCACAAGCGGUGGAGCAUGUGGUUUAAUUCGAAGCAACGCGAAGAACCUUACCAAAUCUUGACAUCCUUUGACAACUCUAGAGAUAGAGCUUUCCCCUUCGGGGGACAAAGUGACAGGUGGUGCAUGGUUGUCGUCAGCUCGUGUCGUGAGAUGUUGGGUUAAGUCCCGCAACGAGCGCAACCCUUAAGCUUAGUUGCCAUCAUUAAGUUGGGCACUCUAAGUUGACUGCCGGUGACAAACCGGAGGAAGGUGGGGAUGACGUCAAAUCAUCAUGCCCCUUAUGAUUUGGGCUACACACGUGCUACAAUGGACAAUACAAAGGGCAGCGAAACCGUGAGGUCAAGCAAAUCCCAUAAAGUUGUUCUCAGUUCGGAUUGUAGUCUGCAACUCGACUACAUGAAGCUGGAAUCGCUAGUAAUCGUAGAUCAGCAUGCUACGGUGAAUACGUUCCCGGGUCU
rnacentral:rRNA from 1 species